CGAAAGCCUGACGGAGCAAUACCGCGUGAGGGAGGAAGGCUUUUGGGUUGUAAACCUCUUUUCUCAAGGAAGAAAAAAAUGACGGUACUUGAGGAAUAAGCAUCGGCUAACUCCGUGCCAGCAGCCGCGGUAAUACGGAGGAUGCGAGCGUUAUUCGGAAUUAUUGGGCGUAAAGCGUCCGCAGGUGGUAUUUCAAGUCUGCUGUCAAAGACCGAAGCUUAACUUCGGAAAGGCAGUGGAAACUGAAAAACUAGAGUACGGUAGGGGUAGAGGGAAUUUCCAGUGUAGCGGUGAAAUGCGUAGAGAUUGGAAAGAACACCAGUGGCGAAGGCGCUCUACUGGGCCGUAACUGACACUCAGGGACGAAAGCUAGGGGAGCG
rnacentral:rRNA from 1 species